GCUGAGAGGAGACGGCACCAGUGGCCCCUCUUCACACUGUGAGAGAAGGAGACAUGGAAGGAAAGCUGGGAUUGUCACAGAAGUCAAAUUGUGUCGUCCUCUUCAGAGCCGUGUGACGCAGAGUUUUAUUAUGGAGGACGUGAAGCCUGAGGGCUGGCGGCAGCUACUUCAGCCCCAUGGUGCAGCUGGCAAAAACAGCACAAGUCUCCUUCACAGGUCCUCAUCAUGGAGGAGGCCUGGGGAGCGGGGUUAUUACGAGGGCCCCGCAGCGCAAGUGAAUGAGCCCCCUCGCGGAGCUCGUCCGCUGAGCUGCAUAGAGGGUGGCAGGAUGGACAAAUGGCUUCAGACACUGGAGAGACUCCAAUCACGUCGGCUUCAGAAUCAAAUACCUCAGUUUGCGGACAGGACAGUAUCAAUGCCAGUUCUCCCGAAUGAGACAGUGGGAAGUAACCCACUAUGUCCUGAUGUUUCCUCUCUGCGCAGGAGGAAUCAGACCCCUAGCGUCUGUCCCAGUGUGUGUGAAAGCUCCUCGAGCAGCCUGGAGUCUGUUCACAUUAAAGCUGCUCCUGCUGCAGAAAGAGCUCAGUUCUGCGCUCUCGCUCCAGUUCGCUUCGGCUGGCUGCCCAUACAAAGACAUGUGAUACUGACGGACAUCUCUGACAACCACCAUGACAACAGUAGGUGCCAGAAACUGAAGUCUCCCAUCACUCCAGUGUUGCUCAGCACUCCUGCCAAACUUAAUGGACCAAGACCAAAUGACAGAGAAACUUCGAGGCCUGAACCUGUAGGCUUUACAUACUGGAGGACACCUGAAAAAACACCAUCCAUCCUCCAUCAGGUGAGAGACUAACACUAACACUGUUCUGAAAACACUAGUUUGCUUUAUAUAGGAACUAAUGAACUGCACCAGAGUUUGUUAUGUUUUGUUCUCAGCGUUUUAAAAUCAGAAAAUGUCAUGCAUUAUGAGCCCAGUGCUUUAAUUUGAAAUAUUUUUCACACUAUUAAAAUGGACUUUGGGUCUCUCGGCCACCAAACAGAGAUGCCUGCUUGUUGUCCUACAUACCAUAAAUACAGAAUUUACCCAAAAGACACCGCU
rnacentral:lncRNA from 1 species